rnacentral:lncRNA from 1 species
GUACCCUGAUUUACACUUGCAGAGGAAGUACCCUGAGCUUCAGUUACCUUAGUUCCAAGAAUUCUCUGGGUCUUUUCUCCCAAAACUAUCAUUCAAGGCAAUGAAUCUCCUAGAGAUCCUACCAAAAGCCAAAGAACUAUGGAAGUAAGAAGAAUGGAUGCCUCUACAUUUGGGCACAGCUUAGAGCUACCACAUCAACCAAACUAUAUUCUAGGGAUCCAAGCAGGAGAAAGAAAAUAAAUCACUUCAAAAAAAAUCAGAGCUAAUAAUAAUACGUCAAAUUCCCAUGUUGCCUAAUUUAAUUCUAUUUUUUUUUUUUAACAUCUGUGAAUGCCUAAGAGAUGACUUCAGUUUGAA